AUUGAACGCUGGCGGCAGGCCUAACACAUGCAAGUCGAACGAGUGGCGGACGGGUGAGUAAUGUCUGGGAAACUGCCCGAUGGAGGGGGAUAACUACUGGAAACGGUAGCUAAUACCGCAUACCAUCGGAUGUGCCCAGAUGGGAUUAGCUUGUAGGUGCGGUAACGGCUCACCUAGGCGACGAUCCCUAGCUGGUCUGAGAGGAUGACCAGCCACACUGGAACUGAGACACUGUCAAGACGCCUACGUGAGGCAGCAGGGGGGAAUAUUGCACAAGGGGCGGAAGCCUGAUGCAGCCAUGCCGCGUGUAUGAAGAAGGCCGUCGGGUUGUAAAGUACGUUCAGCGGGGAGGCGUUAUCCGCAGAAGAAGAACCGGCUAACUCCGUUCCAGCAGCCGCGGUAAUAC
rnacentral:rRNA from 1 species